rnacentral:rRNA from 1 species
AGCGUAUAUUAAAGUUGUUGCAGUUAAAAAGCUCGUAGUUGAAUUUCGGGAUCAAUACGUCGGUCAUGCUUUUUGGUACGAACUGGCGUCAUUGGUUUCUCCUUUCUGACGAACCAUGAUGUCAUUAAUUUGGUGUUAUGGGGAGUUGGGACUGUUACUUUGAAAAAAUUAGAGUGUUUAAAGCAGGCAUAAGCUUGAAUACAUUAGCAUGGAAUAAUGAAAUAGGACGUUUGAUCCUAUUUUGUUGGUUUCUAGGAUCAACGUAAUGAUUAAUAGGGAUAGUUGGGGGCAUUAGUAUUCAAUUGUCAGAGGUGAAAUUCUUGGAUUUAUUGAAGACUAACUACUGCGAAAGCAUUUGCCAAGGAUGUUUUCAUUAAUCAAGAACGAAAGUUAGGGGAUCGAAGACGAUCAGAUACCGUCGUAGUCUUAACCAUAAACUAUGCCGACUAGGGAUCGGAUGAUGUUAAUUUUUUAAUGACUCAUUC